CAGACAAUGUAAUAGGGCAGCAGGAAAUGCUAGCAGAAUGCUUGGUUGUAUAGGGAGAGGUAUUAGCAGUAGAAAGAGGGAAGUGCUAAUGCCAUUGCACAGAACACUGGUGAGACCUCACUUGGAGUAUUGUACGCAGUACUGGAGACCAUAUCUUCAGAAGAGAGUUCAGAGAAGGGCUACUAAACUGGUUCAUGGAUUGCAGGAUAAAACAUACAAGGAAAGGUUAAAGGAUCUUAACAUGUUUAGC